UUAUUACUUGUAUUUCUACGUUUGUUGAUAGCGAUCAUCGGUCAUGGGAUACUUUUAUUCCUAGUGUCCAGUUUGCCAUUAAUAAUUCGGUUAACGAGGCUACUGGUUUCACUCCGUCAUUUCUUGUCUUUGGCAGAGAACUAGUAAUAUGUGGCUCUCAUUAUACUGAUAUUGAUUUGGGUGAUCAAGUUUUGUUUCUACCUCGAGAUCUGUAUGCCGAAAACCUAGGGUGUUUGAGCUCCAUCUUCGAUCAAGUUCAGAAAUCUUUAUAUCACGCACACGUAAAAAACACUGCUAACUAUAAUUUACGCAGAAAGCCUUUUGAAUUUAAUGUAGGAGAUACUGUUUAUAAACGCGCUUACGUCCUGAGUGACAAAGAUAAGUAUUUUAGUAAGAAGUUAGCACCGAAAUAUAUCAAGUGCAAAGUUGUCGAAAAACUCUCGCCACUUGUCUACGUUCUAGAAGACAUGUCGGGUAAAAACAUAGGCACUUGGCAUAUUAAAGACUUGAAAAUAUUAGGUCAACACUCAUAGUUUUUACGUUUCGUUUUUGUUGCCCAUGUCCAUUAAAAUCUUUUUUACAUUUCUUGCAAAAAGUCGUAAGCCGAUUCUUAUGACUUAUGACUUUCGUUAUGCUGUGGAGUCUUAUAAUUUUGCAUAUUAUUUGAUUUAUUUUGACUGUUGGUGAAGUAUGAAAGGUUGUGUGAAAGGUGAUUGUAAGAAAUUGAUACAAGUUUGAAAAUUGCGGAUUUUAAUUCUAAGAUUAAAAUCCUUAUGCGCGACGGGGGGUAAUGUAACGUAAUGUUACAACUUAAAUUGUCUGCAAAAUAAAAAGAUAAAAAAAAACCUUAAAACAAAAGUAUUAAUGUUCAAAGCAGUUAUUUUAUCGACUGUACCGCUGAGGUGAGAACAAUAGUUCCCACCUCCCCCCGAGACGUAGGUUCGGCUGGCGCAGACACUGCGCAGCCGCCGGCAGUCGUCACUAGACUUCCUUAUUAGUCUUACGUUUGUAUUCGAGUUCAGUUAAAGUUCGUUUUCAAACCUAGACGACUUACCUACAAAUAAUUUAUUUAAAAAAUAUAUUUAGUACAGCAAUAUCGUGUGCUGUUUAAUAUUAACACGAUUAAAAUAAACGGAUUCGACCCCGCUUUUAGGGUGAGUUGGAAAUGGCAUAUUAUUAUUUUUUAACGCAUUACUUCUUUUUUUAUUUUUUUUGCUAAUGAUGCACAGGUAUAUUUCACUUGUUUUUUUUUUGCUUUCAUUUUUUAUUGUGAAUUUACUCCGUUCUGGUUGUCCACUACCACGAUAAUCUCGCCACAAGAUGUGGGUACCUUGCUCGAGUUCUCGUUGGUCAACCAGAUCGGAAGGUAGAUAAACCAGUUCGUGAAAUUGGUCUUAUCGCUUCCAGGGUUCAUGCCUAGCUGCUUUUUCACGCUUCUUGCUUAUUGCUUCACCCGAUAACUGCGUGUGCUGAAAAGGUCAUCUCCGCCCAGUAACCCGUACCCUGGUGAUCUAGCCAGCCCAGGAAACCUCCAGGAGUCCAGACGUGGUGCUUCAGCGGGUCAACCCACGUCCGUUGGCUGCCGGAAUUCAGGAGGGUAACCUACAGAGGGAGAGUCAGAUCGGCCGUACAACCACACCCUAUAAAUUUGUGUGCUCAACUGCCGUUUUUUUUUUUGUAAUAUAUAUUUUUUUAACUGAGACACUAGUUUUUUUUUUUUUUUUAAAGGAAAGACUAAGCAGUUGUCGCAAGGGUGGGGCAGCCGUUGUAACUAUACUGAGAUCUUAGAACUAUAUCUCAAGGUGUGUAGCACAUUUACGUUGUAGAUGUCUAUGGACUCCAGUAACCACUUAACACCAGGUGGGCUGUGAGCUCGUCCACACAUCUAAGCAAUAAAAUAAAAAAGAAAAAAAACGCGGCCCGCCAUGUUUUAAAAUUUGUAAACUUGAAUUUAUUUUAUCGACUUUCCGUUCGUUUUUCUGUUCUUUUCUUGUUUGUUUUUAUCUUGCAUUAGUAUAUUAUGAAAUCUUUACUUUUUUUAGUUUUAUAUGAUAUCCAACGGUGCGUUUAUGCCGAAGUUCAAAUCACGCAGUCAGGUAAGGUCUACGAACGACGAAGGAACAACAUCGUCUAGUAAAAGUUCUGUAGUUCUGUAGUUACUUGAUUAGUUAAGAUUCGUUUUUGAAGUUAUACCUCUUUAGGCGCGUUAUGAUAAAUUGAUGAGAGUGAAAUUUUACGAUGCGCGCGCACCGUGACACAAAAUUAACAGAAAUGAAGUUGCCCACUAAAUCGCUCAUUACAAUACGACUGACGCGACGUAACUUGGCGAGUCUGAAUAUAGCAGCAGGUGAUCUUUCGCGCAGCACUCGUAAAAAAAAGUGUUAUUAGCAUUCAUUUUUUAGUAAUAUAAAUGACAACAUUAUUAUUUAAUAUAAUUCAUACUAAAUAGUAUUUUUAAAUUAUUAACGUUAAAUAUUUAUUAAAAAUUAUUUAAUAUUUAAAAAAAAACAAAAAAUUAUAAUAAAAAUAAAGUAUAACUUCUUACGCGCGUACAUAAGUACACGCACCCUUUUUUUUGCGAGGUUGAAUCGUAAUUUGAUGUGGGUGACCGCAUCCACAUUGUUAUAUCUAUGACUCCUUUAACCAGAUUACGCCAGCCGGGCAGUCGGAUUGUUCAGCCAAUCACGCAAUAAAAUAAGUUUUAACAACCCAAAUUAUCAAAAUCGAGUAUAAUAUAUUCUAGACAAAACCGCAAUAUUAAUAAUUAAAUUAAAUAAACACAGACCCGCGUUAUCGCGAAACACUAAUUACUACGUUUUUAAUGUUUAAUUAUAUAAUAAUUUUUUUAUCUAAAAAUAAGUAUUAUAUUGACUGGGGGUUUUAGAUAUCAGGGGGUCUUAGAUAUGAGGGGUUCUUAAUUUGAAUAAAUCCAAUAAAUCAACAUUUAUUUCACAUAUUUAUUUAUUUAUUUAUUUAUUACACUUCAUGUAAAAUUUACAUUGGCGGACUUAAUGCCUAAGGCAUUCUCUACCAGUCAACCAAAGAUAGUGCAGAGUGGAUAGUGGUAGGUAGGUGCAAUGAAAUUUAUAUUAAGUUACAAAAAGUAUAUACAUACAUAAAUACAUACAUACAUACAUACAUAUAAUAGUUUAUACAGUAUUAAAAGGAAUAUAUUAAUGUUCCAUGUUUGCCGAGUAGAAUUUUCUCUUGUUCCUAGCAAUGGACGUCAAAUACCAAUGUCUUAGCAGAUACUGAGUUGCGUCAUGAUACAUGAUGUCGAUAGGUGAAAGGCUAUUUGGUUUAAGCGACAUUUUUGCAUUUGAGCCACUUAAUGUUUAACAUUUGGAUAAAAUAUAAUAAAAAAACUUCUUCAGCUAUUUCAAUGUGGUAAACCUAAAGUUCAAUUAAAAACAUCGAACUAUUGAUACGAAUACCAAAUUACAAAAAUAAAUGUCGCGUAUUUAAGCGAAAUGUCGCUUAAAACAACUGCCCUUUCACCCCUUAAUGCAUUAUUUUCUUCGGUUUUCGAGAGCCGUAGACAUAAACUACUUUUAUGGAUUUUUUUCGUUAAUAUUAAACCAGCCUAAUAAGCUAUUAAACUUAAGUCGUUCGUGACCACGAAAACUAUCGAGUAUCCCAAAUGUCGGAAAUAACAUUGUAACGCUGGAAAAAUUAAUUUAGAUGUUUUUGAAAUUAACGCCAUCUAGCGUAUACGUGGCGCAGUGUGGGGAAAUAAAAUAAUUUUAAUACACUGAUUACUUCACUCACUCGACGCUGCAUGACGUGACUGUGCGAUCUUGUCUAUUGUUCGAAGACGAGGUUUGCACAUCACUGGCAUGCAGAACCUUCGAGAACCGUCAGAUUAUUACUAUAAAAGGACAAGUCACUUUGUCCAAGUCCUUUUUCUAUCAACAUCUCUCGAGCUGCGAGGUGAAAGUAUUCGUAAGCAUUUGCCUAAGUCAAUUUAAUAGUUCCUUGGUGUCGUGUAUUAAACCAGGGUCCUAGUAACUGGUACAUAAUAUGUACAAUAGUUAGGGUGCGGAGAGUGACCUUCAGUUCACCUUUAAGAUCCCGCAGUACUUUUCUGUGUGGACGCUGCCGGAAGCGAGGUGCUCUGGCAAGGCGAUCCAAGAAAGAGUACUUGACUACGGUAGACUAAGAACACACCUGCAUUCACAGCCUUGCUCGGAUCCAGUAACCCCAGUUGCUGGGAACCCUUUAUCGUCUUUUUUAACUAAAUCGGUCUCCCAGAGCGAUACGAGCACCCUUUUUUAUUGCCCUUGUUGGCAGACGAGCGUGCGGCUCACCUGAUGGUGAGUGGUUAGCGUCGCCCAUGGACUUCAGAAAUGCCAGGGGCAGAGCCAAGCCGCUGCCUACCAUCACUUGUCUACACGCGGUAGACUAUCUCUGCAAGCUGGCCCAAAUUAAACUUAUAAUUACAAAUGUCAUAUUUCGUAUUUUUGAAAGAGGUUAAAUAAAACAGAUUAGUUUAAAUCCUUAUUAAAUAUUUAUUGCAAACACAAACCCCUCAGUUCAGUGACCCCGCCGAACCGUUCGCAAAGUGUUGCCGUACAAAAAAAAAAUUAUCUACAUUAAAUACAGCCUAUAACAAAAUAAAUAACCGAAUUCCCUCUUACAACCGAGGAUGUUUAAGCUGUAGCGUAAAAUCAGCCCACAUACUGUAGCUUAGCCGGAAACGAUAAUUAUGAGAAGCACAUGACAUAGCGAAACAAGUUCUUUUUUUUUUAAUUAAUUAAAAUCGCUGUUUUUAAGAGCCUUUUUAUCUAAACUAUAAGGACCAUAUCUCAGUGACUCUAUUAAAACAAUAAGCACCAACAAUAUUUUGUUCAAUUUUCAGUAGACUACAAUCGAAGCGCUUACGACUGUUAGGUCCUUAACAAAACUCCCAAUUAGUAUUUUCCUCGUUUUUAUACAUUUAUACAUAUAUAGCUAAGUUAAUAAUAAAUUUAACUCAUUCAACAUUUACAACUUAAAACAUGACUUAUUGAGAUCAGAAUGUUUGUAGCGACCUCUAUCGGCGAUUAGCGGAGACCUGGCAGUAGCCUAAAACGAACAAAAAUUAAAUUUUAAAAAAAAUCGUUCUACCAUAGUAUUCGGUAAAUCAAUUUUCGCCGGGCCCAGAACUAUCAGUGCGCUUAGUGCGAGAUUUUAACGUUCUCGAUAGCGUAAAAGUUAACUCAAAUUUGUAUGGAGUAGGAACGUUUGCCUACGUUUGUCGCUAGGGGCGCUGUUCCGACUGCAUACAAAUCUGAGUUAGCUUUACGCUAUCUAGGACGUUAAAAAACUCGCACUAAGCACUCUAGCCGCUGAAAGAAGUCGCUACAAAUUUACAUAUAGUUACUAAAAAGUCCACGAGAAGAUCAAAAUCAUUUCGAUAAGAACAUUGCUCAGAACAAACGCGCUUGAAGAUUAUACAUUAUCAAACGAUAAUUGCCUAGUAUUUAUUGUCGACACGCACAUCAAGAUAUAUGAAAAUAAUAAAUUGAUCAGGGUAGCUUAAGCUUUCAGUUUAACAUUAGCCCACUUACUCACUUUUUAGAUAUUUAUUUAUUUUUCCAAACGGGAUACAUGUUACCAUAGACUUUGAAAUUUUUAAAUCGGAGGUUUAUUAUUGAACGACGAAAGCGCGCCAAAAUUCGAUAUCUGUCAACAAAACUUUUGUUUCUUGAGGUUGAUUGUGAUGUGGUAGUAGGGAGGUAAUAAAUGAAACAUCGCUGCAAAGUUUUUUUAUAUUCAUACUCUAUCCACAUCGCUGUGAUACGCAAAAAAAAGGGUGCGUGUACUUGUACGCGCGUAAGAAGUUAUACUUUAUUUUUACUAAAUUUAUUUCUUUUUUUUUAUUAAUCAAUUUGAAAAAAAAUCAAUUAAACAACAUCCUCAAACACGCAUAUUGGACAUCCCUUUUCUUGACAUCGCAUAAAUUCGGUAAUUCUCGGUACGGUUCGGAAAGUUCACCUGCGGCUAUAUUCAGACUCGCCAACGAUUAUUACGUCGGUCGUAUUGUAAUGAGCGAUUUAGUGGGCAACUUCAUUCUGUUAAUUUUGUGUCACGGUGCGCGCGCAUCGUAACAUUUCACUCUCAUCAAUUUUUCAUAACGCGCCUAAAGAAGUAUUACUUCAAAAAUUACAAUAUAAAAAAAAAUUGAUGCUUAUACGGUUCGUAGAAAGGUAUCUACAUAAUAUCGCUUCAAAACAAUGUCCAUAAACGAAAUCGUUUCACUCACACGAACAUGUACCGACUUCUCGGGAACCUUUCCUUGUAAAAAAAACAUAAGUCCUGUAAAAUAUAUGAACAUGUACAUACAUACUUUACAUAUUUAAAAUAUAACUGGUUGAAUUUUAGAAUCUUUUUUAAAUUUAGAAUUAUGACUUGAAUGAAAAUUUAGAUUUUUUUAAUACAUACAGGGUGCUAUUUUAAUUGAAUAUGCCAUUUCGAAAAGGGCACAUGUCACAUAUUUUGUCAAAUACGUUUUUUCAUAUACAUGUAGUUUUGAGGCUUACCUACACCCAUUUUAUAAUAAUUUCAGUAAUUUUCAAUUGCUAAUUAACACUAAAAUAUAUCUCAAAAGGUAAUAUUUUAAAUUUUACACUGCCUUAGAAAAUAAUCAGUUUUUUUUCAUUUCCUGAACAUUUUACAUUUUCAGAGAUGUGCCCUUUUCGAAAUGGCAUAUUCAAUUGAACUUCAAUUAAGUUUACUCCAUUCAAAUAGCCGAGACAGUUUUUUUGUGUUAUGAUAUUUUUUUGGAAAUUUUAAUCUUUAAAUCGCUUUCCCGUAAGUUACAAAAAUGUUGCUUAAAUCAAAUAACCUUUUACCCUUCUAUGUGAUUUCGACUCGUAUUCAUUUUAUAAAUUAUAUUUGCAGACGUUUCUAAUGCGAUGACAAAGAAAUUAAAAAUACUUUUUUUAAAAAUUAAAACGCUUUUAAUUUUAAAUAGCCGAAAAAUCAAUGUUGAAUUUGAAAAGAAAUAUAAUGGUAAAAUAUUAACUGUAUGUCGAUACAAGACAUGCAUAAAUAAUAACAAUUUAUAAUGAUUGUUACGUACGUCUAAUAAAUAAUUUUAAUUUUUUGCUUAUAUACUAAAAGUGAUGCUUUAAAUAUUAUGAUUUUACUUUAGAGAUUGCAUUGUAUUAAUCUGUUUUACAAUCAUAAAGUUAAUCUGAGUGACUUUUCUGAUGAUAUAACUUAAGUAUGUAUAUUUUUUUAAGCAACAUCUAACUCAGAUUUCUUUUCUGUGUUAAAAUAAUAUACAAUGUCUGAGCUUCUCUAAAAUUACGCUUGAUAUGUGAAAUAUAAAUGUUGUUAAUUGUAAAUAAAGGCAAACGAACAUACAAA